rnacentral:rRNA from 1 species
UACGUAGGGGGCAAGCGUUGUCCGGAAUCAUUGGGCGUAAAGAGCGUGUAGGCGGCUUGGUAAGUCCGCUGUGAAAGUCCAGGGCUCAACCCUGGAAUGCCGGUGGAAACUGUCAAGCUUGAGUCCGGAAGAGGCGAGUGGAAUUCCUGGUGUAGCGGUGAAAUGCGCAGAUAUCAGGAAGAACACCCGUGGCGAAGGCGGCACUCUGGGACGGUACUGACGCUGAGACGCGAAAGCGUGGGGAGCGAACAGG